ACUCUGGAUGAUGAACCAAUCUACCAAAGCAUAGUUCACCUGAAAUCUUCGGAUUACUGAACGAAAACCUUGAUCCAUCUUUCACUAUUAUCUGAUC
rnacentral:snoRNA from 1 species